GUCGUUUCUCUCUUAUCACUCAGUUACCCAAACCCUAAACUCCUCUCCUUCCUCUUCUAUUUACUCAAUUAUUCAUCAAAUUUAACUUCAAAAGUAUUUAUUUCUUUAUUUCUCCUUUCUACUCUGCAUCCUAUUCUGUGUUUCUCAAAAUCUUUGAUUUUCUUCUUCCCUUAUUGAUCGAUUUGUGAGACUUCACAUGUUUAAAGAUGUGGUAUUGCAACAAAAAGACGAGAUUACGAGGAGAUUCGAAAUAAUAAGGUAAAUUUUGGUUAAUUUGUUUGGAUUUUAAUUUAAGGAGGUUUGUUUGGACUUCUUUCUUACCAAGUUUUGUGUUGGUUUAUUAUUUUAGCUAGAGAUGGUAGAUUAAAGUGUAAA